rnacentral:rRNA from 1 species
UACAGAGGUCUCAAGCGUUGUUCGGAUUCAUUGGGCGUAAAGGGUGCGUAGGUGGCGCGAUAAGUCGGGUGUGAAAUCUCGGAGCUUAACUCCGAAAUUGCAUUCGAUACUGCCGUGCUUGAGGACUGGAGAGGAGACUGGAAUUCAUGGUGUAGCAGUGAAAUGCGUAGAGAUCAUGAGGAACACCUGCGGCGAAGGCGGGUUGUUGGGCCGACACUGACGCUGAAGUGCGAAAGCCAGGGGAGCGAACGGG